GAUGAACGCUGCCAGAAUGCUUAACACAUGCAAGUCUUUGGCGAAGCUGUGCUUGCACAGCCUAGCCAAGGCGGACGGGUGAGUAACGCGUAAGGAACUUGCCCUGCAGUCAGGGAUAACAGACGGAAACGACUGAUAAGACCUGGUAAAGUCAGGCGGACUCAUGUCCAGCCUGAUGAAAAGAGAUGCUGCAGGAGAGCCUUGCGUCCUAUUAGCUUGUUGGUGGGGUAACGGCCCACCAAGGCGAUGAUAGGUAGCCGGCCUGAGAGGGUGGACGGCCACAAGGGGACUGAGAUACGGCCCUUACUCCUACGGGAGGCAGCAGUGGGGAAUAUUGGACAAUGGGGGCAACCCUGAUACAGCAAUUCUGUGUGCACGAUGAAGGUUUUCGGAUUGUAAAGUGCUUUCAGCAGGGAAGAAAAAAAUGACGGUACCUGCAGAAGAAGCGACGGCUAAAUACGUG
rnacentral:rRNA from 1 species